CUACGUGCCAGCAGCCGCGGUAAUACGUAGGUCCCGAGCGUUAUCCGGAUUUAUUGGGCGUAAAGCGAGCGCAGGCGGUUAGAUAAGUCUGAAGUUAAAGGCUGUGGCUUAACCAUAGUACGCUUUGGAAACUGUUUAACUUGAGUGCAAGAGGGGAGAGUGGAAUUCCAUGUGUAGCGGUGAAAUGCGUAGAUAUAUGGAGGAACACCGGUGGCGAAGGCGGCCUUCUGGGCCAUAACUGACGCUGAGGAGCGAAAGCUAGGGGAGCAAACAGGAUUAAAUACCCUGGUAGUCCUAGCCGUAAACGAUGGACACUAGGUGUGGGGGAAUAUUUCUUCCGUGCCGCAGCUAACGCAUUAAGUGUCCCGCCUGGGGAGUACGGCCGCAAGGCUAAAACUCAAAGGAAUUGACGGGGGCCCGCACAAGCAGCGGAGCAUGUGGUUUAAUUCGAAGCAACGCGAAGAACCUUACCAGGGCU
rnacentral:rRNA from 1 species